AUUGAACGCUGGCGGCAGGCUUUACACAUGCAAGUCGAACGGUAACAGGGUGCUUGCUCCUCUGCCGCCUGGCGAACGGGGGCGUAAUGCGUCGGAACGUGCCGCGUAGUGGGGGAUAACGCACCGAACGUGGUGCUAUUACUGCAAACGUACUGAGGAAGAAGACGGGGGAGCUUCGGUCACCACGUUAGUCGAGCGGCCGACGUCUGAUUAGCUAGUAGGUGAGGUAAAGGCUCACCUAGGAGACGAUCAGUAGCGGGUCUGAGAGGAUGAUCCGGCACACUGGGACUGAGACACGGCCCAGACUCCUACGGGAGGCAGCAGUGGGGAAUUUUGGACAAUGGGCUAAAGCCUGAUCCAGCCAUGCCGCGUGUCUGAAGAAGGCCUUCGGGUUGUAAAGGACUUUUGUCAGGGAGGAAAUCCCUAGUGCUAAUAACACUGGGGGAUGACAGUACCUGAAGAAUAAGCACCGGCUAACUACGUGCCAGCCGCCGCGGUAA
rnacentral:rRNA from 1 species